UCUGUGAAAGGUUUGCGUGGUGAAUGCAGAAAAAUUAAAAUGAAAUUCAAUUAAAACGCAUAUGUAAAAACGUAAUUAAAUUCAGUUAAAACGAAAUUAAAUGCAACAACACAUUUCACCAUGCAUGAAAAUGAAAUUAAAACAGUAAAAACGAAACUGCUACAGUAAAUACGAAAAUUCACGCUGGAACAGGACAACUUUGACCUUUGCUCAAUGUUUUAUCCAUAAC
rnacentral:lncRNA from 1 species